rnacentral:rRNA from 1 species
CAGUCGAACGGUAACAGGCCGCAAGGUGCUGACGAGUGGCGAACGGGUGAGUAAUGCAUCGGAACGUGCCCAGUCGUGGGGGAUAACGCAGCGAAAGCUGUGCUAAUACCGCAUACGAUCUAUGGAUGAAAGCGGGGGACCGUAAGGCCUCGCGCGAUUGGAGCGGCCGAUGUCAGAUUAGGUAGUUGGUGGGGUAAAGGCCUACCAAGCCAACGAUCUGUAGCUGGUCUGAGAGGACGACCAGCCACACUGGGACUGAGACACGGCCCAGACUCCUACGGGAGGCAGCAGUGGGGAAUUUUGGACAAUGGGCGCAAGCCUGAUCCAGCAAUGCCGCGUGCAGGAAGAAGGCCUUCGGGUUGUAAACUGCUUUUGUACGGAACGAAACGGUCUGGGUUAAUACCCUGGACUAAUGACGGUACCGUAAGAAUAAGCACCGGCU